UGAUGCCAUGCUUCCAGGAAAAGCCUCUAAGCUUCAGAUAGUCAGGAAUCGUACCCCAAACCGACACAGGUGGUCGGGUAGAGAAUACCAAGGCGCUUGAGAGAACUCGGGUGAAGGAACUAGGCAAAAUGGUACCGUAACUUCGGGAGAAGGUACGCUCUUGAUGGUGAAGUCCCUCGCGGAUGGAGCUGACGAGAGUCGCAGAUACCAGGUGGCUGCAACUGUUUAUUAAAAACACAGCACUGUGCAAAAUCGCAAGAUGACGUAUACGGUGUGACGCCUGCCCGGUGCCGGAAGGUUAAUUGAUGGGGUUAGCGCAAGCGAAGCUCUUGAUCGAAGCCCCGGUAAACGGCGGCCGUAACUAUAACGGUCCUAAGGUAGCGAAAUUCCUUGUCGGGUAAGUUCCGACCUGCACGAAUGGCGUAAUGAUGGCCACGCUGUCUCCACCCGAGACUCAGUGAAAUUGAAAUCGCUGUGAAGAUGCAGUGUACCCGCGGCUAGACGGAAAGACCCCGUGAACCUUUACUACAGCUUGGCACUGAACAUUGAACCUACAUGUGUAGGAUAGGUGGGAGGCUAUGAAGACGUGACGCCAGUUGCGUUGGAGCCGUCCUUGAAAUACCACCCUUGUAUGUUUGAUGUUCUAACUUAGACCCAUUAUCUGGGUUGAGGACAGUGCCUGGUGGGUAGUUUGACUGGGGCGGUCUCCUCCCAAAGAGUAACGGAGGAGCACAAAGGUGGGCUAAUCACGGUUGGACAUCGUGAGGUUAGUGCAAUGGCAUAAGCCCGCUUAACUGCGAGAAUGACGGUUCGAGCAGGUGCGAAAGCAGGUCAUAGUGAUCCGGUGGUUCUGUAUGGAAGGGCCAUCGCUCAACGGAUAAAAGGUACUCCGGGGAUAACAGGCUGAUACCGCCCAAGAGUUCAUAUCGACGGCGGUGUUUGGCACCUCGAUGUCGGCUCAUCACAUCCUGGGGCUGAAGUCGGUCCCAAGGGUAUGGCUGUUCGCCAUUUAAAGUGGUACGCGAGCUGGGUUUAGAACGUCGUGAGACAGUUCGGUCCCUAUCUGCCGUGGGCGUUGGAAGAUUGAAGGGGGCUGCUCCUAGUACGAGAGGACCGGAGUGGACGAACCUCUGGUGUUCGGGUUGUGUCGCCAGACGCAUUGCCCGGUAGCUAAGUUCGGAAUUGAUAAGCGCUGAAAGCAUCUAAGCGCGAAGCGAGCCCUGAGAUGAGUCUUCCCUGACAGUUUAACUGUCCUAAAGGGUUGUUCGAGACUAGAACGUUGAUAGGCAGGGUGUGUAAGCGUUGUGAGGCGUUGAGCUAACCUGUACUAAUUGCCCGUGAGGCUUAACCAU
rnacentral:rRNA from 1 species